rnacentral:rRNA from 1 species
UCGAACACGGAGAUAGCUGGUUCUCUCCGAAAUAGCUUUAGGGCUAGCCUCAAGAAAUAGAGUACUGGAGGUAGAGCACUGAUUGGACUAGGGGCCCUCACCGGGUUACCGAAUUCAGUCAAACUCCGAAUGCCAGUUACUUUUACUUGGGAGUCAGACUAUGGGUGAUAAGGUUCAUAGUCGAAAGGGAAACAGCCCAGACCGCCAGCUAAGGUCCCAAAGUAUACGUUAAGUGGAAAAGGAUGUGGAGUUGCCCAGACAACCAGGAUGUUGGCUUAGAAGCAGCCAUCAUUUAAAGAGUGCGUAAUAGCUCACUGGUCGAGUGACUCUG